rnacentral:rRNA from 1 species
GGUUCAGGACGAACGCUGGCGGCGUGCCUAACACAUGCAAGUCGAACGGAGUAAGGGUUUCGAUUCUUACUUAGUGGCGAACGGGUGAGUAACGCGUGAACAACCUGCCUUCCUGAGGGGGAUAACACCUGGAAACAAGUGCUAAUACCGCAUAAGACCACAUAUCCGCAUGGAUGAGGGGUCAAAGGAGCAAUCCGCAGGGAGAGGGGUUCGCGUCCCAUUAGCUAGUUGGCGGGGCAACGGCCCACCAAGGCGACGAUGGGUAGCCGAGCUGAGAGGCUGAUCGGCCACACUGGAACUGAGACACGGUCCAGACUCCUACGGGAGGCAGCAGUGGGGAAUAUUGGGCAAUGGGCGCAAGCCUGACCCAGCCAACGCCGCGUGAGGGAAGAAGGUCUUCGGAUUGUAAACCUCUGUCCUAUGUGACGAAGGAAGUGACGGUAGCAUAGGAGGAAGCCCCGGCUAACUACGUGCCAGCAGCUGC